UGGGGGAUAACGCACCGAAAGGUGUGCUAAUACCGCAUAAUCUCUACGGAGAAAAGCAGGGGAUCGCAAGACCUUGCGCUUUUGGAGCGGCCGAUGUCUGAUUAGCUAGUUGGUGAGGUAAAGGCUUACCAAGGCUUCGAUCAGUACGCUGGUCUGAGAGGACGACCAGCCACACUCGGGACUCGAGACACGGCCCAGACUCCUACGGGAGGCAGCAGUGGGGAAUUUUGGACAAUGGCGGGAAACCCUGAUCCAGCCAUGCCGCGUGAGUGAAGAAGGCCUUCGGGUUGUAAAGCUCUUUCAGCCGGAACGAAACGGCUCACGGUUAAUACCCGUGAUCACUGACGGUACCGGAAGAAGAAGCACCGGCUGACUGCGUGCCAGCAGCCGCGGUAAUACGUAGGGUGCGAGCGUUAAUCGGAAUUACUGGGCGUAAAGCGUGCGCAGGCGGUUUUGUAAGUCAGAUGUGAAAUCCCCGGGCUCAACCUGGGAACUCGCGGUUGAAACUACAAGGCUAGAGUGUAGCAGAGGGGGGUGGAAUUCCACGUGUAGCAGUGAAAUGCGUAGAGAUGUGGAGGAACACCGAUGGCGAAGGCAGCCCCCUGGGUUAACACUGACGCUCAGGCACGAAAGCGUGGGGMGCAAACAGGAUUAGAUACCCUGGUAGUCCACGCCCUAAAUGAUGUCAACUAGUUGUCGGGUCUUAACGGGCUUGGUAACGCAGCUAACGCGUGAAGUUGACCGCCUGGGGAGUACGGUCGCAAGAUUAAAACUCAAAGGAAUUGACGGGGACCCGCACAAGCGGUGGAUUAUGUGGAUUAAUUCGAUGCAACGCGAAAAACCUUACCUACCCUUGACAUGUACCGAAGUGCGCUGAGAGGUGGAUGUGCCCGAAAGGGAACGGUAACACAGGUGCUGCAUGGCUGUCGUCAGCUCGUGUCGUGAGAUGUUGGGUUAAGUCCCGCAACGAGCGCAACCCUUGUCAUUAAUUGCCAUCAUUCAGUUGGGCACUUUAAUGAGACUGCCGGUGACAAACCGGAGGAAGGUGGGGAUGACGGCAAGUCCUCAUGGCCCUUAUGGGUAGGGCGUCACACGUAAUACAAUCGCG
rnacentral:rRNA from 1 species